GUGGUACUGGAUAAAAACAACACACAGACUGAUAGAACAGAACAGAGAGGGAAGAAACAAACUCAUACAUAUGGUCAAAUAUUUCCUUUUUACACAGGUGCCAAGAUGAUUCAGUGGAGAAAGGACAGUGUCUUCAACAACUGGUGCAGGGAAAACUGGUUAUCUAUAUGUAAAGGGAUGAAGGUGGACCACCUCACAUCAUAUACAAAAUUUAGCUCAAAAUGAAUGGAAAACCAUAGAAAUAAUGCUAUAAAACUCUUAGAAGAAAAGAGAGGGCUAAGUCAAGAUGCUGGAUUUGGCAGUGACACACUUGUGCACCAACAACACGUGCAAGGGUAUUCACAGCGGCCGCACUCACAGCGGCUGCACUCACAGCAGCGAGCAACAGGAACCUGCCCAAAGGCCUGUCAACUGCAGAACAAGCAAUUCAGCUGCAGCUCAUCAUGCAUGGCACUGCCCCACUGCACGAGAGCCAGGGGCACCCAAACACACAACAGGGAAGGAGCUCACAAGCAGAGUGUUGAGCAACAGAGGUCAGACAUAAAAGGAGAUGCUGUAUGCUAUAUCAAGUGAAAACAGAGACAAAACUCAUCUACAGGGUUAGAAGCCAGGACAACUUUACCCUCAGAAGGGAGGAUACUGGCUAACAGAGGGGAUGUGGGUACUGGGAAGGUCCUGCUCCUGGGUCUGGGCACUGAGGAAGGAUAUCCAUUGGCCACACACUCAGGAUCUGUAUGUACACUUGUCUAUACGCAUGUUACAUGUCAAUAAAAAGUGAAAACAGCCUAAUUCCGAAAUCAAAAGUCAUGAGUCAAAAACUCAGUUGCAGAUGAUGACUUAGUGUUCAGGCUGUCAAAUCUACAUGGCAUGAACCCAUUUCAUCACAGCGACUCUGGGGCCGGCCAGUAUUAAGAGAAAAAAAAAAAACAAUGUAACAUUUGCACUAAAAUGUCAUCACAGCCUGAUUGGAGAGGGACGUCAUCAUCUCUCAUUUUACUGGAAUUAGAGAAGAGAGAAGCUGCCUGGGACCAUCUUACCCCCCUUUCUAGGAAAACGUGUGAGAGCUAACACGAGGAAGUGAAGUGAAGGGAUGAAGGAAGGAGACAGGGAGGCGGGAAGAGAGAGACACACACAGACCAAGCCAUACCUCAGGACCUGCCUAUUUUUUCAGCCACAGAGAUUAUCCCUUUCUUUUCAUAACUUAACUCAUUUGAAUUAGAUUCCUUUUUUUUUUUUUUUCUGAGACAGAGUCUCGCUCUGUCGCCCAGGCUGGAGUACAGUGGCGCAAU
rnacentral:lncRNA from 1 species